rnacentral:lncRNA from 1 species
AUGAACGGCGCUUCCUGGCAAGAAAAAAAAAUUAAAAAAAAAAAAAGCAAAAAACCGGCGCCUUUUCGCCUGCCCCAAAAACGCGGGGUUUCGGCUCUUUUCUCCUUCCUUUCUCCCGCCGUGGGGGGAGCGCCCGGCGUUCGUUUUGGGAUGGUUUCGGGCCCGCUGCUAAUUUGCCAGGGCAGCUUUAAUAGGAUUUCACGGCCAGCGCGGAUUAUCCGGGGAGAGCCCAUUACGGGGUGGCCGUGCGCCAGGGGGAGGCGGGGAGGGGCGCCCCCCCCCCCCCCCCCCCCCAACCUUCUUUUUUUUUUGGGGUAUUUGGGAAUCCUUAAAGGCUGGGAAAGACGAGGAGGGCUCUGGGCAUCUGCCCCCUGCGCUUUGCUGCACAAGGGUUGCCCGGGGACCCCCCCAACCCCCCAAAAGGGACCCUGCCCCUCUCUGCCCCGCUGUUCCCAGCUUGCAGGGAGCCCGGCCGUGCGUGGCGUGGCUCCUUGCACAAUUCCUUGCACAACUCCUUGCACAACUCCCUGGGCUGCACCUUGCACAAUGCCGUGCGCUGCAGGGCCUCCGCGUGGCACCUUGCGUUGUGGCGGCGCUUUGCAGAGCACCUUGCACAGCAGGGCCUGUGCACGGCGCCUUGCACGGCACCUUGCACGGCUCUGGCACCUUGCACAGCCCCUUGCACAGCGCCUUGCACAGCAGGGCCUUUGCACGGCACUUUGCAUGGCACCUUGCACAGCACUGGACCUUUGCACAGCACCUUGCACAGUGCUGGCAUCUUGCAGACACCUUGCACAGCAGGGCCUUUGCACAACACCUUGCACAGCACCUUGCACAGCACUGGCACCUUGCACAGCACCUUGCACAACAGGGCCUUUGCACGGCACUUUGCAUGGCACCUUGCACAGCACUGGCAUCUUGCACAGCAGGGCCUUUGCACGGCACCUUGCACAGCACCUUGCACAGCACCGACACUUUGCACAGUGCUGGCAUCUUGCAAACACCUUGCACAGCACCUUGCACAGCAGGGCCUUUGCGUGGCACUUGCACAACACCUUGCACACCACUGGCACCUUGCACAGCACCGACGCCUUUGCACGGCAUUUUGCACAGCGGGCUCUUUGCACAGCACCUUGCACAACGCCCUGAACGGCGGGGCCAUUGCUUGGUGCUCACCAUAGCAGGGUGUUUGCACAACCCCUUGCACGAACCCUUGCACCAACCCUUGCACAACGCCUCGCACAGCACCAGCACCUUGCACUGCACCUCGCUCAGCUCAGGAUGGGGCUGGGGGGGUGCUGUUGGAGCCCCCCAAAACCUCCCAGCACCAGGAGCAGCGCCGUGCCCAGCCCCGAGCGCUCGCUGCGGGCCAGCAGCUGUAAGGAGACACCGCCGGCGCGGCCGGAUUUAUAGGAAAAGCUUCCCUGGGGGGGAAUUAAGUGGGAAAAACCUCCGGCUGCCAGCUGCGAGGCUGCCAGGAGCCAGCAGCGAGGGCCAUGGCUGGAUCCAGCCCCUUCCAGCCCAAAGGGGAAACUGAGGCAGGGGCUGGGAGCUCGGCACCGUGGCCCCCACCCCAUCCCCGUGCCCCCCUAACGCCCCUUCCCCUUUGUUUUUUUUUUUGUAGGGUGUUCAAGAAGGCGAGUCCCAACGGGAAGGUAAGCGCCGCCUCGGGGGUCCCCCUGUCCCCAGAAGGGAAACUGAGGCACGGCAGGGUCUCGGGGGACGUGCCCAUGCCCACGGUCAGGGCUUUAAUUUGGGGCUGGGGGGGGGCUCCCCCGGGAGCCUUAAUGGGAUGAGGCUGGGGGCUAACGAGCUCCAGCUGGGGCGGCGCAAAUCGGAUUUUGUGGGGAGGGCUGCGGGGACGGAGCCAGGCAGCGGCUGCCGGGAGCUCCUGGGGUUGCUUCUCCCUCCGGCGUCCCCUCUGUGAUUUCGGGGGGGGUCCCGAAAUCUUUGGGUACCCCCGGUGUGAUGCUCGGCAGCAUCCCGGGCUCGGCACCGCUCCCUCCUCGCAGCCUUUUGGGUGCGCGUGGCGAAAAAGGAUUGGGGACAGCGGCGUCCCCAUAAGGGCCAAACUGCCCCAAAUCUGCACCCUGCAGCCCCCAUCCUCACCGCAGAGCCUCUCCCAAAUUGGGGGGGCACGGUCCCUGCG